rnacentral:lncRNA from 1 species
GGUUGGAAGAAAACCCUUUUCCAAUUUAUUCAAUUCUUCCUUCCCCGCUCACCCCUACCAACAUGAUGCUGCACACAAGUGACGAGACACGACGGUGCCGGAGACCGCCGGUUUCGCCCCUGCCCUGUAGGCUGUAGUGUGCGACGCCGGUUCCGUUGAUUUCUAAUUUUUUUUCUAACAUGACUUUUGACUUCAUUAUGAAAAUCUUACAUCUUUUUGAGUUUUGGAGUAAAGAUAGAUAUAUUGUUGUGUUAUCUGUUGAUAUACUAAUUAAUUAUACAAUAAGCCAUAAAAUAUUGUAUUUUUAAUAAAUAGGGUGUAUUAAAAUUUAAAAGUACAAAAUUUAAUUAAAAAUAAGAUUACUGCAAUUUGAGUUAUCUUCAUAAUUUACUUCUGUUAAUUAUUAUAUUCCUCAAGUAUUGGACUGAGGGUAAGGGAUAUAAUUACAUAAUUGAACAGUGCCAAUAUAUUAUGUGAGUGCUUACAUUUUUUAAAUGAAAAUUUUCACAGGCUAUGAAUCGUAUGAAAAAAUGAAAAUUUUCACAGGGUAUGAAUCGUAUGAUUGCCUGUUUGUAUGUACUAAGUGCUAACUGCUAAAUUGACAAAUUUAAUUUUAUUGUAUUGUAAUUUGUAGGUGCUAACUGCUCAACACCAUGUUUAACAGUUUAAGGGUAUCAAUUUGGCGUGAAAUUGGAACAAAAUCGCAGAAUUCUUUGUCCACUUGGUGAGCAAGUUCUCUGGUUCACUGGUUGGAGACUUGGAGCCAAUAUUAAUGCUAAGGGAUUCCUUCCUCAGGUCAGUGAUUUAAGUUGAUUAGUUGAUGAUAAAUAUGUUGAGAUUUAUUCAUUUGGGAAUUAAAAAAUUGCGAAUUGUGAUUUAUGAAUUAUGAUAAGUAAUUUACGUUUUAUGAGUUAUGAUUAUUGAUUUGGGAAUUUAUGUUUACGAAAUUAUAUUUGCAUUCGCGAUUUAUGAUAAGUAAUUUAUAUUUUGAUGAGGAAUGAUUAUUGAUUUGGAAAUUUAUGUUUAUGAAAUUAUGUUGUGAAUUGUGAUUAUGAUAAGUAAUUAGUGUUUUGUGAGUUAUGAUUAUUGAUUUGAGAAUUUACGUUUAGGAAAUUAGUCAAAGUGAUAAAAUUUAAUUGACAAGACCCAUGUGUACUUUAUUUUUAUUUUUUUUUAAUCAAUUGUAAUUGAUCGUAAUAUUGGACUAUUACGAUCGUCGAUGGUCAACGAUCAACGGUCAACCCAUCCUAGCUGGACUUGGAUAUUAGAUUUGCCACUGAUAAGCACCCUUGAUUAAUAUACGGUUUUAAAUGCAGUGAAAGAUGAAUAGGAACAUUCUAUAACUAUUCUAUUAUUGUCUAAAGUUAGAAUAAGAAUGCUAAAACUUUUAUUUUGUAGACAAAAUUUCCCUUUGCCAAAAUGGUCAUGCAAGGCACCUGCCUAACUUAACAAGAUUUGGAUGGAAGUCGUCAAUGAGGACAAUUUGCGUGAAGUCCGAAUGGUUGUUGAUGAAAUGUCUUAUAAACAUUUCAUGAGAUCAAAAUUGAGACAAAAUAAAAAUGUUGGGAACCAACAUUACGUUAUACCCAAAUUUAUAAUUUUGUGAUUUUAAUAUUCUUUGUUACGAUUUCAUUAUUUAGAAUUGGAUUUGUCAAUUGUCUACACAAGAUUGGAUUAGAGUUUGGUCUACUUCCUUUCUACAUUAAAAUAGUCGCCAAAUAUUUGGUCAAUUUUGUCUUUGUAUAUGCAGAAAAAUAAAUGAACCACUUUUAUUAGUAAGAGAUUCUAGAGUUCUCAAAACUUUUCCAUAAGGAAUGGUCAGUGUUGGGUUUUGAUAAACUUCGUAAUUUUUUGUCUCUUUCUUGCGUUCCUUUGUGGUGUUUUCUUCUUGCCUUUGUGGUUACAAAUCAUCACCAUUAUCUUGUCCUUGUGGGUGAGAUUGAGAAGCAACCGAAGUGAAUAUAUAGGUUUUGGAUUGGAGCCGGUUGGAUUGGUUGUUUGAUAGAGAAAGAUAACGUUGAACUGAGCCCGAAAAACACUGUUUUGACGAUCGGAGCAAGCUUCCGCGACAUCUGGAUUUUGGAAUUGAUGGCAGUAAUAAUAUAUCUAGUGGUGGAGAUAAUAAAAAUUAGAUAUCCUAGAUUUGAAGAUAGACAUAUAAAUAUUGCUCUCUCCUUUAAGGGAUGCUAUCAAUCUGAUGAACGCGUCAAAAGAAUGAUUAUUUUGCUAAUAGGUGAUAGUCCAAUUGGUAGAAAGUAGGAGUCUAUUUUGCAGUGGCACAGGCUAAGAUAUUUAGAUCCUCAUAAAUCACAGAGUGAAAAUGGAAAUGAGCUUAAUGCUUUUGAAGUCAGGUGAUAAUUAUUCAAUUUCAGAUUGUCUAACUACAAAAUCUUUCAAGCUAUCAGUGUGCAAACAUAGUUCAUUUGUGGAGACGGAGAUAAUUGACUCUUUCAAGGAACAGGAUAAGAUGAAAGAAACUGUUGCUGAAGUCAAAAUGUAGAGAUGUACAUGCUUUGAGCCAAUUCUGCCAACUGCUAUAGAAAAAUCAGUACAACACAGGCUUUAGCAUUUUUCAACUUGCUAUAGAAAAAAUUUGUAUCCAUAUUUUUCGAUGUAUCCCCCUCUAAGGCCAAGCAAAAAGAAUAGAGGGAUUUAAGGAAUCAAAUAAAUGGAAAUCUAAUGGAAAAACUUAGUUAUUUUUUCUUUCCAGCUAAAAUAUAGCACAUGCGAUCAACGUGCAAUUUACGUGCGACACAUGUUAAUUGGGCACCUCAACUCCGUAAAAACACCAUAUUAAUUGACACAACAUCUGCAAUUGUAUCAUAUGAUUCAUUCUCUCCAUAAAAGUUAGAGUAUAUUGCAUGAAUUCAUUGAUUAUAGUUAAUGAAAUAAAAUAACUAAAUAAAGAAAAUUAAUAAAAAAAAUCAGAUACGAUAAUACCAUCUAUAACAAUUUGGGAAUCAUAUAAUGAUUCUACCUCAUCCAAAUAUUGAAGAAUUACUAUAGUUUUCUUCUUACUAUGCUACCAAUUUUUAUGGCAUAUCAUCGCCUCAACCAUUUUUCACUCAAUAUAACUCUCAAAGGAAUCAAGAAUCCGACCACUAGUAAUGAAUAUAGACUCAGAAAUAGUAGUGAAUAUUUGAUUAGCUAACACGUCUUUAACAAUCUGGGAGACAAUCUUGUACUUAUUUUCUUUCAAUUUACACCAAAGUAAUAUGUCGGAAAACUCAUUGGUCAAAUCUUCAAAAUGAUAUUUAAGUAAGCCACCAAAUCAUCCUAACAAUUAAUAGUAAAAUCUAAAACUAAGUACAAAUAAUUAAUUGAGUGAUCUGACUAGAAAAUUGAGAUGAAAAUAAAUUAAGGUUGCUGUCCACAAAUAUUUAAGGGAGUCAGGCACAAAUUAGAACAAAAUAACAUAACUACCAAUAAAAUAUAGUAAAUAAUUACCAAAAAAUAAGAAAAAUUGAUUAACUAACUUGAAAAUUUAGCCGAAAUUCGAGAAAAUUAUUAGUGAAAGAAAAAAAAAUGUGUGAGUAUGAAUUUAAAUCUAGAUUUAAUUGUUUGCUCAAUUGUAAUGGGUGUUUAACAAAUACGAUUUAGCAAUAGUUAUUCAACAUUUCAUCCAAUUUGAGGUUUUGCAUUCACAAGUACGAUUACUAUCGGGUAUUUGAGUAUGAUUUAAUUAAUUGGGAUGGAUAAUUAUCUACUUAUGUAUUGAGUUUAAUUGGGUUUUCUUUUUAAAUGGGUUGUAUUUAUGUGACACCCGGGUCCUAAAACUCGAAGCCCAUAAAAGAUAAUACAAAAGAGAACCUAUUUAAAAUUCAUUUCAUAAAUUGAGAAAGUCAAUUGAUAAUAAUAAUAAUAAUAAUAAUAAUAAUAAUAAUAAUAAUAAUAAUAAUAAACUUGAUCAUGAUACUUAAAAUAAUCAAUUCAAAAGGAAAGUUCAUAAAACUUCAUUUAUUUCCACCACCACGAACAAGUCCAAGCAAUCUUCCCAAUGCUUAGUUACCUCAAAGGGGGAAAAUAUAAAGUUGAGAAAAUCAAAAUAAGUAUGUAUGUGUUCAUAAGUUUCUAAUCAUAUAACUUUUGGAAUCAUAGAACUUUCAUAAAGGAUACACAAAAUUAUACCGAGCUUAGGUGGUAUGAGUUUUACGUGCGUAGCAUUACUAGAACUCUGAUUUGAAAUUUAGAACAUACAUAUGGACCCAUAAAACAUAUUUCCAAAAGUGCAGCAUAACAACUAUACUUACCGUUGUGUGGUGAAAAAUAAAGGCAAUCAAAGAAAUUGGCUUGCUUGGUGUUCACUCCAAAGUUUUUUUGAAUAGCGUGAGUACUAAAGAUUUUUGUAAUAUGAAAUAUGUUUGUGUGUAAGACGCGUAGUGAGAGAGAGGAGAAAAAGUGAAGUAUGAAUUUCUUGAAAAUCAUGUACCUAUUUAUAGCAUAUUGAUGAUAGAUGGGAUAAAUUAUUUAAAGACAAUAUUAAUAUCCAACAAAAUAUGUGAUCAAAAUUGAAUAAUCAUAAUAUCCGACAAAAUUUGUGAUAAUGUUGAAUAAUUAAAAUAUAAUCAUAAUAUCCAACAUAAUUUGUGAUAAUGUUGAAUAAUUAAAAAUAAUCAUAAUAUCUAAUAGAAUUUGUGAUAACAUUGAAUAUUUAAAAAUAACCAUAAUAUCUAAUAAAAUUUGGAUAAUGUUGAAUACUUAAAUUUAAUCAUAAUAUCGAAUAGAAUCUGUGAUAAUGUUGAAUAUUUAAAAGUAAUCAUAAUAUCUAACAAAAUUUAUUUAUUUAAAUAUAUCACAAUAUCUUAGAGAUUUUAUCACUUUGAGAUUCAAAUAUUUGUUCUUAAUCCAUAAAAUAUUGGACAUUAAUCAAUUAGGUUCCUAGACUAUACUGUCAACGUGAUAAGGCUCUAAAUUUUAAUAUAAUGACUAGUUUUGAGGUAUGAGGUGUCACAAUUUAGUUUUAUCUCAGUUAGUUAAUUUAUAUUAAUUUAUUUUCAAAGUUUUUUGGUAAAUAAUUUUGCGAUUUGAAACGGUUUGUAAAGAUUGAAACUUAAACCAAAUCACUUCGAAGUGAUUUGGUUUGAUUCAAAAUCAAAACAUUAAUGGAUCCACUUAGAUCCAAAUUGAUGAUUUCGAAAAGCGGUUCGAUUCAGUUUUGCGAUUUGACGGUUUCGUUUUUUAGCACUACUCAUGAGUAGAACUUUUUUUUUUAAUAUAUAUAUAUAUAUAUAUAUAUAUGUUUCGUUUUUUAGCACUACUCAUGAGUAGAACUUUUUUUUUUAAUAUAUAUAUAUAUAUAUAUAUAUAUAUAUAUAUAUAUAUAUAUAUAUAUAUAUAUAUAUAUAUAUAUAUUAAUUUAUUUAUUUUUUAUUACACUUGUUUUAAAUCAACUAUUUUCCCCACUAUUAUUCAUGAAAUAGUGAAUUAAUAUUAUGAUCUAAACCCAACUCAUGGAGAGUAUACUUUCAAUCUUGUUGACUAAAGAGAUAAGCACCCUUGAUGAAUUUGGUAUUAACUGCACUGAACGACGAAUAGAAACAUUAUAUAACCAUUGUAUUAUUGUGAACCUAAUUGAACAUAUUUCUUUCAUAGCAAAUUAUUUAUUUGAAUUAAAUUUUCUUUGUAAGUUACAUAUUUUUUUCAAGGUUUAAAAAUAAAAUGCUCGCAUUGUAUUUGCGAUGCAUUUCAUGUAUUUUUAAUCAUGUAUUUAAAGCGUCAUUGUUUUUACUUCUUGGUCACACGCGAAAGUGAUGUUACCAAAGUAAAUGUUGAAAAUCUGUGUAUGGCAAUGUUUAAGAGUUUUUGUUACAAGUUAUUUCUUGUCAAUCAUAUUUUAGGUUUAUCAAUGAUUUACUUCUUCUUCUUCUUUUUUUAUCGUAAGCAAAAUUCUAUUUUUUUAUGCUAUAUUAGGCUUAGAAAAUGUUUAACACACUCUUAUUUGGGUUUGCUUAAAAGUAAAAAUAGUUGUUAUGUGAUUAUGAGAUUUCUUUUAUAAUCUCAACUGAUAUCGUUAUUUCACUCUAAAAAAAAGUAAUUUUAAAAAGUUGUCUAAAGUUAGAAUAAGAAUCCUUAUACAAGGCACCUGCCUAACUUAAUAAGAUUUGGACGGAAAUUGUCAAUGAGGACAAUCUGAAGUAGGGAAUGGUUGGUGAUGAAAUGUAUUAUAAACAUUUAAUGAAAAUAAAAUUGAGAAAAAGAUUUGAGACUUCUUGUCUUUGACCUUUCCGUAAGGAAUGGUUAGAUUUCGGAAUCGAGUGGCAGUAAUAAUCUAUCUAGUCGUGGACGCCCUAAAGAUAGAUGUCCUAGAUUCAUAUAGAUAUAGAAAUGUUGCUCUCUCUCCUCUAGGGUAUGUUACCAAUCUGAUGUACACACAUCAAAAGAAUCAUUGUUUUUCUAAAAGAUGAUAGUCCAGUAGGUAGAAAGUAGGAGUCUAUUUUGCUGUGGCACGGGCUAAGUUAUCGAGACCUUCAGGAAUCACAGAGCAAAAAUGAAAAUGAACUUCAAUCGUCCCUUUUGAAGUCAAGUGAUAAUUAUUCAAUUUCACAUUAUCUAACUACAAAAGCUUUCAAACUAAUGGCAUCCAAAUAUGGUUGUUUUAUGGAUAUGAUGACAAUCAAUUCUUUGAAGAAGCAGGAUAAGAUGGAAGAAUAGUCGUUGAAGACAAACUGUACUGUACUAGCUUAGAGCCAAUUCUUGUUGGAAAUUUACUUAAUCAUGCAUAGCUGAAUUUAAACAAAAUUUCAAUUCCCACCAAGGAUCUACUUUAUGUUUAGAUAGAAAUUGUGAUAGAAAAUAUACCUUUGUUCGAUGUAAAACAUUUACUAUGAGAAACAUCUCCACUUCCGCUUCCGCUUCAGAUGAGUUGAUUGGCACCUAAACUUUGUCAACACCCCCUCUAAGGCCAAGCUAAAAAUACUUGAGGGGUUUAAGGAAUCAAUAAUUGGAAAUCUAAUGAAAAAGCUUAGUUAUUUUUCCAUUCUAGUCAAAAUAUAGCACAUGUGAUCCACGUGCAUUUAAUGUGCGACACAGGUUAAUUGGGCACCUCAACUCCAUCAAAUCCCUCUAAGCCCAAAUUUUAAAAAAAAAAAAAAAAAAUUUUUUAAGGGACUUAAAGAAUCAUAUUAUGGCAAUCGAACGAGAAAUUUUGUAUUUCUCGGUUCCAGCCACAUUAUAUUAUGUGGGUGUACGUGCAAUUCAUGUUUUUUUAAUCAAGUUUGAUUUUAUUACACUACGUAAUAUUUUCCGUCACAUUUAUUGUGGUGACACCUUAGUAGAUGUCUUUCGAGUAGGACUGAUGUAAAUUAAUUAAUUUAGGUGAACUAAUGAUAAAUUAAAGGGAGUUUUAGUUAUCUUAUUUUGAAUAGAUCAAAAUAAUAAUUGUACAAUUUAUUUUCAAUUCACCCCAAACUUUUUGAAAAUCAUGGGCACCUAGGACUUCAGAGAUGACCUACAAAAAUGAUAUCUAAUCAAAAAGUUGAUAAUGAGAGGAUUAAGAGCAAGAAAAUUAGAAAAUAAAAUUAUUAAGAGUAAGAAAAUUGAGUUGUCUCCCAACAAGUGCUUGUUUAAAAUCUCUAGCUCGACUUUAGGGAAUGUUGGCUUCGGGUGAAGAAUGGAUGACUUCUCUUUUGAGAAGUCACCUCCCAAAAAUGGCUUCAACCUUUGCCCAAAUAAGGCCCCGCUUUGAUAAGGGCCCCAAAUUUAUAAGAUUAAUUGAUUGGUUAAAGAAAAAUAAAAAUUAUAUUUAUAAAAUUCCUUAAAAUAGAAUUAUCACAUGCAAACACAAUAAACUAAUAAAAAUUGAAAUACAAAAUUAUUUUAAAAACAUGUAAAUGACAUAAAACUAAUCACUUACAUUUAUUUAUCACAUAAAUAUAACACAAACAUUACUUUUUCUCUCUAUUACUAAUUUGACACAUUAUUUUCCAAACAUUUCUUUUCUUUUCUUAACCAAACAAAAGGUCUUUUUGUCUCUUCAAAUUAUAUUCACCCAUCAUAAUUUUUUAAACCCAACAAGAAAUAAAGAGUAAUAUUAUUUGCAGUCACUCGCUGUCAUAGUCACCCUACGUGGUUUAUAUAUGACGGUUAGUGAUUUGAUGCAUUAAUGUAGUAUUUUUUGCCUUAUGCAUCAAAUGACUAACCGCUACAUGUAUGUCACGUAGGGCGACUGCGAUAGUGAGCGAUUGCAUAUAGCAUUAUUUGGAAAUAAAUUAUCUCCAUUUGAAUUAAAAUUUUGAAGAUUCAAUUUGAUAGAUUAGUAUGGUCUCAUUGUCAUUGUUACAGUUUUACAGGUUUCUUUCUUUCUCCCCUAUCUUCAACAUAUAUACUACAAAGUAUAUAGGUUAUUUUUAUUAUUGUUUUGCUUUAAUCUCAUGAUAAUAUCCUUUUUAGAUGUUUGUUGAAAGUACUUAGAAUUUAAUAAUUCUUCGUCCGUAUUCAUACUUCUUGUUUGUAUGUUAACUUCUUAUGAAUUAAUAUAAAAUUAUAGUAUAUUUGAUCAUCAUUUUCAUUAUUUUGUUAGAUUAUCUCUCGCAAUCAACAUUAUCCAAUUUUAUACAUAAAUCACUCAAAUGCAUAUUCAAUUUUAUUUAAAAGAGUUGCAAUGAGAAAAUGAUCAAAGAAACGAACAGACCCAUAUGUCAUUGCUUGUAAUUUUGUUUGCUGAAACUUCACUUAUAAUUUGGAUUGCAUGUUGAAAUUUGACAUUUUGUAUAUUCCUCUUCAAAUUUUGGGACUUAGUUGACUGUAUUAGAUCAUUCAUAAUUAUAUUAAAACUCUUUGUAAGAAGGUUCAAAAUAUAGUGGGCCUCAUAUUUGAAGUUGGGAUAAGGCCUGCAAAAUAUCAGGGCCGGCCCUGGUCCGAUGAAUUUAAAAUUCUCAUUUUGCUCAUAAUAUAACUCGACCGCUCCAUGAGAGAAGAUUUGAGUAAUAGUUAAAGGUCCCAACCAUCUAGAGCAGAGUUUAAUCGGGGAACAACUGGAGCCGAGAGUUGUGAAGAAGAACUUUUUGCCCAACAUUGAAUUAUUGCUCCACAAUGUCUGUCAUGCCACUUCUUUGUCUUUUUUCCUUGUAUAGCCAGGCAUUCUCAUAUGAACCAAGGCAGUGUUCAUCAAGUUUAUUUAGUUGAAAUAAUCUUUUCUCACCUGUCAAAUUUACAUCAAAGUCAAUCCUUUUAUCAUCCAAUAGGCUCGCUACUCAAAUUCAACUAGAAGGUUGCAUGCUUUCCUAAACACAACCUAGUAUAGAGAAAUAUCCAUGGGUGUUUUGAAUGCAGUACUAUAAGCCUACAAUGCAUCAUCUAGUUUCUUGGAACUUUUCUUGAGGCAUUCACCGUCAAUUCAAAAACGUUUUUCAACUCCCUAUUUGAAAUCUCCACUUGUCCACUUAUUUGUAGAUAAUAAGGAGUAGCCACCUGGUGUUUCACUCCAUACUCGCCUAAAAUUUAGUCAGAGAGGCUAUUACAAAGAUGUUUGCCUCCUUCACUAAUGAUAACUUGGGGUGUACUAUAACGAGAGAAAAUAUUUUUCUUUAGAAAAUUCACCUCGACUUGGCAUCAAUAGCGGACAAAGCCACCACUUCUACCUACUUUGACACAUGAUUAAUCUCCACCAAAAUCUAUUGAUUAGAGAAUGAAGAUAAAAGUGAAAUCAAUUUCCCAAACAUGAAAAAUCUCCACCUCUAAGAUAGAAUUCAAUGGUACUUCAUCUCAGUUGAAGAUAUUUCCACUCGGUCAAACUUGGAGACAAAUAUAUGAUCAUCCUUGAAUAAGAUAGGCCAAUAGAGUAUCGAUUGAAGAACAUUUGAUGCGAUUUCCAAGGCACCAAAUGACCACCAUAAGGUGAAGGGUGAUAUUGUUCGAGAAUUUUCUCCAUUUCUUCAUCGGGUACUCAUCUUCAAAUGAUUUGGUCCAACCCUCUUUUAAACAACAAUGGGUCGUCCCAGAAAUAGCGCUUGGUAUCAACAAAAAAUUUCUUCCUUUGUCGAUAACAGAGAUCUGGUUAGGUGAAAAUUUACAUGGUCUGCAUAGGUAUGUUAGAUAUUUGUAGAGUAUGCAUUACUUGCAAAAAUUGCUCAUCUGUAAAUAUCUCAUUUAUCUCUUAAUUGUCCACCUCCUUAGUUUGAUCGAGUCUAGAUAAAUGAUCGACUAGAAGGUUCUCGAUCCCUUCUUGUCACAAAUCUCCAAGUCAAAUUCUUAUAGAAGAAAAACCCAUCUAAUCAACCUCAACUUAGCUCUUUCUUUCCAAGUAAAUAGGGUCGAAUGGUCAAUAUAAACAAUUACAUUAGAGCCAAUGAGAUAAGAUGAAAACUUAUCAAAAGGACACACUAUCGCUAGCAUCUCCUUCUCGAUAGUGGCAUAAUUCACUUGAGCUUUGGUCAAAGUCCAACUAGCAUAACCAACCUUAUUCUAAAUAACCUCACUUUAGAUGAAGGAAAAGUUGUGGAACAUGCAGAACAGGAUCAGGCUCACCAGCAGGCUUAGGCCUCUAUUCAGGCAAAAAUGGAUGAGAAAGUGCCUAAUGUGCGAGCUCUCGAAAAAAAGAACUCCCAACACUAGAAAGCAGCUUCCAACAUUAGGAAGCAACUCUUAAAGGCUGCAUACAAACUGUCUACCAUCAAGACUGAAAGUGAUGAGGAUUGAGAAUAAUCAAACAGAUGUUCAUGCAGCUCAGAUGAUUAUUCUUGUUUAUAUUGUCACGGCUAUAAACACUUUCUUGUUCCUAUUAACCAAACAUGUUGGACCUGUCUUAACUGCAAGUGCAUUCGCUAUUUAAUUCCAUCCUCAAUCCCACAAAAUUUGGAAGUCAAAGUGUUAGUUGGUCAUGGUUCAUUCCAAAAUAUGGAUUCGAUACAAUUGAGAAGAAACUAAAAAACUUGGAAAGCAUGCACUUCAAUCCCCCUGCCGGUGUAAAUUGAAAGGGGUUGAUCGAAGUGUGAGAUCAGUCCCAAACUAAGGUCAAGCAACUAACUGCUAGCAAAGUAAUCAAAUGUAGUUCAUUCAAGGCUUAAGAUAGAAUUAAUGGGAUGCGCAUCCUCUUUUCGACUCUGACUCUCCCACUCCAGUUAUUGAUUUUCUCUCUGUUACUUCGAAAGUAGCUGCUUCAACUUCAGCGUUCGAAUUUCAAUCUUGUCUCUCUUUUGUCUCAACAUCGCUCCAAUGACAUAAUUACUUACAUCACACAUAAGCUCGAAGGGUAAAUUCGAAUUUGGAGAUACAAUAGUGGGAGCCGUGAUGAGUUUCUCUUUAAAAGUGUUGAAAGCCUAAAGACACUCUUGAGAGAAAUCAAAUAGAAUAUUCUUUUCAAGUAAGAAGUAAAGUGGCUUGGUGAUUUUUGAAAUAUCCUUGAUGAACCCGCCUUUAAAACAUGGCAUGCCCCAUGAAACUCCUUAUGCCUUUCACAAAGAUUAGUGGAAGCAAUCUUUUAAUGACUUCAAUUUGGCUUUGUCGACCUCAAUCCUCUUUCGUAGAAUCCAAUGUCUAAGAACUAUGCCUUCUUGAACAAUGAAAUUGCAUUUUUUCCAAUUGAGCACCAAGUUGGUUUCUUCACACCUCUUCGACACCAGGCCCAAAUUUUUCAAGCAACCAUCAAAAGAAGUUCCAAAUAUUGAGAAGUCAUCCAUGAAUACCAUUAUAAAUUUCUCUACCAUGUUAAAUAAAAUAGCUAUCAUGCAUUGUUGAAAUUUGUGAGUACAUUGCAAAGACCGAAUGGCAUCUUUCUAUUUGUAAAAGUAUUAUAUGGACAAGUAAAAGUUACCCAUUAGGAAGCAAUAAUGAGAAUGGCCUGCCAAUCCCUCGAUUAUUUGAUCAAUGAAAAGAAAGAAAAGAAAAGCAAUCCUUCCUAUAGCAUUGUUGAGCUUCGCUUUCGAUAGUCAAUGCACACUCUCUAAUUGGACAUCGAUCUAAUAGUAUAAGUUCAUUAUUUUCAUUCAUUGCCAUCAUGACACCUUUUUUCUUCGGUACCAUUUGAACCGGACUAACCCAUGCAAUAUCAAAAUAGGAUAAACAAUGUCGGUAUUAAGCCAUUUCACCAUCUUGGCUCUCACAACUUCUUUCAUGUUUGGAUUCGACCAAUGGCUUGAAGUAUCCUCCGUGAGGAUUUGUACAUAUACAAAUAAGGUCUGAUCUUCUGAAUAUUCGAGAUAGUCCAUCCGAUGGCCGUUUUAAGCUCUCUCAAUACCUGAAGCAAUUUCUCCUCCUCCAACUAAAUCAAGUUAUUGAAAAUGAUAACCAGGAGUGUAGAAGUUUCUCCCAGCUAAGGAUACCUCAAAUGCGAGAAAAUUUUAGAUCAACAGUUGGUACUUGUUCAGAAGAGCACUCUUUAAGUCUUCAAAGUAUGGUAUCUUCUUGCAAAAAUAUGAUGGUGUAACACCAUUUUCUCAACAUUGGGAUCUUCUUCUCCGAUGAACGAAAAGUGCGCAAUACCAAACCCAAGUGGAUCCUUAGAAAACCCAUAUGUAUAAGAAUCAACCAACAUAUGAUCAAUUGUAUCUACUUGAAAGCAUGAAUCGAAUCCCAAAGGAUUCUUGAUAGCCUUCAACACAUUAAAUAUGACUUGCUCAUCUUGAACCCACAAAAUCAAAUGAUCUUCUUGCACAUCAAUUAAAGCUCGCCCUAUAGCUAGGAAGGCCCUCUCUAAAAUAAUUGAGAUGUCAUGAUCUUUUUCCAUAUCAAGGAUAAUAAAAUUGACGGAGAAGUUGAGAAGUUAAAAUUAUCCACCUUGACAAAGACAUCCUCGAUGAUACCAUGUGGAUAUUUGAUGGAUUUAUCAGCCAAUUGUAAAGAUGCGAUGGUUACCUUGGCUUCUCCCAACCUCCAAAAUCCUAGAAAUAGACAAGCAUCAAAUUAAUGCUAGCUCCAAAAUCACAUAAAACUUUAUUAAAAUUUAAUUCACCAAUAGUACAUGGAAUGGUAAAACUCCCUAUGUCUUUGAAUUGGGAGUAGCUUGUUUUGCAAGAUAGCAGUACAUUCCUCUGUUAGCAUUACCAUCUCAUGCCCUUCAAGUUUCCUCUUGUUUGAAAGAAUACUCUUCAUGAACUUAGCAUAACUUGGCAUUUGAUCCACGGCAUUAACAAAUGAAAUGUUGAUGUAUAGCUUCUUGAAUAGCUCCAAAAAUUGCCAACUCGAGCAUCAAGUUUGUGCUUUUGAAGCCUUUGAGGAAAGGGAAUAUGAGGUACAUAAGCAUUGAUCGAGGUUGGAGCUCCAAUUCACUUUCCCUAGAUGCUUCAUCUUGAUUAAAAUCAUCUCCUUUGAAGUGUGCUAAUUAAGCCCCCAUUUGGCCCCCAUUAAUUUGAAUUAUAAUGGGAGGAAUAGUGUUUAAAUGAGUGGUUGUAAAAGAAUGAAAAGUUUUCGAUUUACGAGUAAUAUUAUUUUAUUGAAAAUUGUGUGGUUGAAAAUAGGAGAUAGAAAAUUUAAAUUUAAAUUGAUGAGAUUUAAAGGGGGCCAAACAAGGGCUAAGCUAUUGAACAUUUAUACCAUAAUCUCAAGCAAUUUCACUUCGCUCCUUAUUGAGAUGGCUUGCACAUUAUCUCUUGAAUUAGUUUCGAUGUUGCUAGGCAAAGCUCCUUCUUUUCUUUCCUAGAGAAGUUUAGCUAUUUGACUCACUUAGUUCUCCAAGUUCUUUGAAGACACAUCAUUGUGCUCUUGAUAUUGUAAUUGAUGAUUUGCCAAUUAGUUACAGAAUCUUCCCAAUUUUCUUUCUUCUCUUGUGGUCUUGAGUUUAGCGAUUUUUUAUUAUUAUUAUUAUAGAAGAUUUUAGGAUGGUUCCACCCACUAGGACUAUAAGUUUGAGAAUAAGGAUUGCGCCCUUGACGUUGAAAAUUUUGAGCAUAAGCCACUUGUUUGAUAGAGGCAAAACCAUUAGUCGUCAAUGGACAGUUCGAACUUGGUAAUUUUCUCCACACAUAUCACACCCUGGAUAAGCUAGUACCAUAUUGACGGGAUGAGAAAUAAAAGUGUAAAGCCCUUUGGCCUUCUUUUCUGUAGAAUCAACAGGUUAAGACAAGUGAAUAAAAAUCAACAUCAAGUAUUCCAUUAGCUCCCUUUUGUGAACACCUAUCUAGCUACAUCACAUUGUGCUUACCAAUGAUCUCGAACAAGUCAUAUGCUUCCGAAUGGUUUUCCGUUUGAUUGGCCCGUUAGAGGAUGAAUCAACAUUAGAAAGCAUGAAGGAGUCAAAUCAGAAUAGAAAUAAUUGAUCCAUUGUGAUUCCUUAAUUCGUGUAUUUUCUAAGCAUCUCUUUGAAUCUCUUCCAAGCCUCAUGAAAGCUUUACGAGUCAAUGUUGAAAGGUAGUAAUAUCAUGCUUGAGUUUAGCAACUCUAGAUAGUGAAAAAACAAGUAAUUUUUAAACAAAGUUCAUCCAACUAGUGAUGCGUUAAGGAGGUAAAAUGUCAACCUAUUCUCUUGCUCUAUCCUUCAAUGUAUGAUAAUCUCAUCGGGAUUAUUUCCACAGUCAAACCUACAUAUUUGAAGUUAUGACAAAUUCCCAUGAAGCGUACAAAUUGAGAGUGUGGAUUUACUUUGGCUCUCCUAUAGAAUGAUCUGGUGUUGGAAAACAAAUUAAUUACAUCCAACUGAAGUUGAAAGUUUGGAUGACUAUACGAUGGAUAACAAUGCUUUAUUUGAUUCUUCACUGUGUAGGGAUUCAUAAAAUCCCCAAAAAGCAUAUACUCUUCAUUUAAUAUGGGAUCUUAAACUCUUCAAGCUUGGGAAUCAAAACUCAAUGAAAUUCGCCCCAUAGGCUGUUUCUGAGUGGGGCAUUAGGAUCAACAAUUCCCCCUUCUUGUAUCAUCUCCACUUGUGGUUAUCUUCCUGCUUCUCGUUGUUCUCUUAGUCUUUGUCGAAAGGUUCCUUCAAUGGUCAGAUCAAAUGCAACGAGAUCAAGACUCCUCGAAGCCAUAAAAUGAAGAAGUAUCAAGCAAUCAUACAUUGUUGAUUCUACCAAGAAGAUCGAGUAAGUGGCAGCUUGUGAAGCUAUUAAAGAGGCGGUGUGGCUCAAGAAAUUCCUAAUAAAUAUUGAGGUGGUGAAUGUAUCUGCAUAACCCUUAACAAUGUAAUGUGUUAACAAUUGGAAAGUGGAAAAUGCUAAAGAAUUAAGAUGUCAUUAGAGGGAUAAACACGGAACAUAAAUAUCAUCUCAUGAGAGAUAUUGUUGGUUGUAGAGAUGUGGUUGUCUAUAAGAUUACUAUUGAGAAUAACCUCAUAGAUAUGUUUACAAAAAGCCUAUCAACUAAGAGGUUCGAGGGACGUCUACUAGGCAUGGGAUUGCAAGAUAUGAUACACAUACUCCAGGACAAGUAAGAAAUUCGUUGAGUUAUGUGCCUAUAUAUCAUAGUUUUGCUGUAGUAAAAUAACAAUUGUGUUGUAAAUAAAUUUUAUUUUUAAUUUAUUUACUAUUAUUUAAUUUAUUUGAUAAAAUAUCAAUAAUCGCUAAUGAUAAUGAUAAUGAUAAUGAUAAUGAUAAUAUAAGUGAAGUGAUUAUGUUAAGAAGUACAAUAUGAUACAACUUUAUAUUUUGUGAUCAUAAAUAAAAUUGUUCAUAACCAAUUUAUGAUGGUUGGAACAUUAACUGUAAUGGGAGGUUGUUGUAUUGACUAUUUCAUCAUUCAAGUUUGUAAUUUGUUCUUAUCGUAGAAAUGGUUUAAUGAUGACACAAGUACACUUGGAGUAUAUUGAACGGACCACUUACGUCUUGAGUUUAUUCUAUAGCAUAACCAUGCAAAAAAUUAAAUUUCAAUAUAUUUCAUCUAAAUCUCUUUAUAGGGUUACGAAAAAAAAAAACAUGAUUUUAAUGGCUCUUUGAUUUACCAAUUGGUGAAAUCAAUUUGAAUGAUCAAGUAUCUCUGUGAAUUGGAAGCUUAAGAAUGAGCGAUGUAGAGAACAUAAAUUCAUAUCAAGAAUUGUCACCUUAAAAAUUGGAUCAAGUGGUAUUUUUUGCUAAACAAUUAUAUGUCUAAGCUCUGUAUUUAAUGACAAUUAAACUUCAACAUUUGAUAUUGGUUCAUUGGACCAUUGAAGAAAAUCUAACUCAAGUAACUGAGAAUAAGUAGAGGGACAAAACAUGUAUUUAUGUUGAUAAAUAAUUAUCGGAUCUUGAAUUGUGAUAUAUAUCGGGCUUAUCAGAGAAAAACACUGCAAAUUGUUGUAAAUGGAAAGUCCAUUAAAGUUUAUUGGUAAAUAACAUUUGUACUCCUGUAGCCCUAGAAUUAUUACCAUUGUAUCCCUGAUUCUUACCUAUAAAUAUAGGGCUUUGGUUUUCAAUAAUAUACACAAAAAAUUUAUUGAGUUUUCUCUAUUCUCUUUGAGUUUUCUCUAUUCUCUUUUCCUCUCAUUUUAUAACACGUUAUCAGCACGAAACUCUUAGAAGGUAGUAAUUUUUUUUUUCAUAAUCAUCUAUCACGUAUAUCAAAAUUAAUUUGAUAAUACGUGAAUUUUACAUAUAUAUAUAUAUAUAUAUAUGUUGAAUCUGCAAUACGUGAUCUCAUCUUUCUCGAUCAUUAUGUUUUCUUUGUACCUCUCUUUGAAUUAAUUAAUAUUUUUUCCUUUACAUCAAUCCACGUCCAUUUUUAUGGAGAUAUAUUUAUGUUAAAUCAAUUGAUAUGCAUUAAUUCAUGUUCAUAUACCCUCUUUAUAUUUAGAUCAGCCCUUUACGUUCUACAUAUGCUUAUAAUUUUUUUUUGUUUAAUUAGUCAAUGUUCUUUGUAAGCAAGCUUCAAUUUCAGAUCUUUAUUUUGGCUAACUCCAUAUAUAUAUAUAUAUAUAUAUAACUGUACCCAACUCAUCUUUUCUCUCAAAUCUAUUGGUUUCUGCAAAUUUCAUGCCUUAAUUGGUUAAUACUAAUUCAAUUCUUUUAAUUGCACAUAAUUAGAAUUUCGUGCCAUAAUAUGUAAAUAGGUUUCUACAUGUCACCAAUUUUUUUGUGUUUCACUCUACUCACGUUAUUAAUUCAAAAUAAUAUUUUACAGGUAUUUGUAUAUUAAUUAAUGGUGAGCAAUUGGAUGUAUUAUCAUUUUUUUUAUGUUUAGUUAUGAAACAUUAUAUUAAAUUUAUUUUUAAUUGUUGUUGCUCCUGAAAUAGCACAACAUUAUAAUUAAUAUUCCAGAAGAAUAUUAAUCAUAGAUCUAUUCAUUGUUGCUCUAGAAGUAGCACAACAUUAUAAGAAUAUUAUUUGCUCUUGAAAAGCAUAAAUUAUAACUCUCUAUAUUCCAGAAGAAUAUUGACAUAUUGCACUUGAAGAAAUAAUAGCAAAAUAUAAUGUACUCCAGAAGUAGCAUAUGUUUCGAAGAACAUAUUAUUUCAAAUUAGUAUUUAUCCCUAGAGGAAAACACGUAACUUAAAUUCAUGUUAAUAUUGACUAUUUGAUUAACAUGUGAUGAUUAAUCAUAUUCUUCGAAACUAAUUGUAUUUUUUUAUUGUGUAGUUAAACAAAUGGCAAACAUUAUGAAAUUUGAGUUUGCUACACUUGACAUAUCUGGUAAAAUUUAUUUAUCAUGGAUACUGGAUGCUGAUAUCCAUCUCCUCUCAAAGGGUCUGGGAGAGACAAUAAAAGAAGGAAACAAUGAAUCCCUAUAGGAUUGUGCAAAAGCACUCAUUUUCCUCCGUCGCCAUCUUCACGAUGGAUUAAAAUUUGAAUAUCUCACUGAGAAAGAUCCACAAGUUCUUUGGAAAAAGUUAACUGAAAGAUUUGAUCAUCAAAAGACUAUAGUCCUCCCCAAAACCCGUUAUGAGUGGAUGCACCUUCGUUUGCAAGACUUUAAAAUGGUUAGUAAGUACAAUUUUAAAUUGUUCAGAAUAUGUUCAAAGUUGACUUUGUGUGGAGAAAAAAUCACCAAUGAAGAUAUGCUGAAAAAAACUUUCUCCACCUUUCAUGCCUCGAAUGUGCUCCUGCGGCAGCAAUAUCGUGAGUGUGGCUUCAAAAAGUACUCAGAACUUAUAUCUUACCUACUAGUCGCUGAACAAAAUAAUGAAUUGUUGAUGAAAAAUCAUGGAUUACAUCCAACUGGUUCUGUACCAUUUCCUAAAGCAAAUGGUACUACAUUGUCAGAAGCAAAUACAAUAUUAAGACAAGGACGUGGACGUGGACGUGGACACGGAUUUGGACGUGGACACGAAUUUGGACGUGUACAUGGAAUAAAUCAUGGAACAAAUAAUCAACAAAGUUAUCAACAACAAGGCAAUAAAUUCAAAAGGCACAAAGCAAACGAGAGUGACAAAUCUAAAAAGCAGCAUGAAGAAAGUUGCUUCAAAUGUGGAAUGAAAGAGCAUUGGGCACGUACGUGUCAUACCUCAAAACAUCUUGUGGAUCUCUACUAGAGAUGAAUCGAGGGAAAAGAAAAAUUGGAGACUAAUUUUGCUGAUUAUGAUAGUUCAAUUGAUGUGACUCUUUUAGAUGUCUCCGAUUUCUUUACUGAUCCAAAUGAAAAUAUUGACCAUUUGGUUGGGGGUGGUGUGAUAGAAGAUAUAGAUUAAUUUACUAGUAUUUCUUUCAUUUUAAAAAUUCAGUCUGAAAUAUGUUUUUAAUUUUCCGCACAAAAAUAAAAAAAAUAAAUAAAACUCUAUUAUGCACUGUUUAUUUCAUGAUAUUAAGUAAUGUUUACUUAUUUAAAUUUAAAUUCAAGUUUUUUUUUUAAAUUUUGUUUAUUUUGUUAUAUUUAUAGAUUCAUGAUGGAUAGUCAAGACAACUGCUUAAUUGAUAGUGCAACUAUAUAUACUAUUCUUCAAGACAAAAAAUAUUUUUUAGACUUAAUAUGAGCUAAAAAUAAUGUUAACCCGAUAUUGGGUGCGUUGAAUAUCGUUGAAGGCUCCGGAAGAGCUUGUAUUAUUUUACCAAAUAAUACAAAUUUAUAUAUUGACGAUGCACUUUAUUCUAGCAAAUCCAGAAGAAAUUUGCUUAGUUUUAAAGAUAUUCGCUGCAAUGAAUAUCACAUUGAGACGAUGCAAAAAAAUAAUGUUGAAUAUCUUUGCAUCAUUCUUUUGUAUCUUAUAAGAAGCAGAUAAAAGAAAAUUUUCAUGCACUCCCGUCUGGCAUGUAUUUUACAUUUAUAAAAAUGGUCGAAUCAAAUAAUGUUACGAACCAGAAGUUCGUUGAUUCAAAAAGUUUUAUACUUUGUCAUGAUCGACUUGGAUAUCCAGGAGCCAUAAUGAUGCGUCGAAUAAUAAACAACUCACAUGGACAUCCUUUAAAGAAUCAGAAGAUUCUUUUAUCUAAUGAUUAUCCAUGUGUAGCUUGUUUGCAAGGCAAGUUAGUCAUUAGACCUCCAACUACAAAGGUUAAUAUUGAAUCUCCAACUUUCUUGAAAAGAAUACACGGAGAUAUAUGUGGGCCAAUACACCCACCAUGUGGACCAUUUCGUCACUUUAUGGUAUUAAUUGAUUCUUCUACAAGAUGGUCACGUGUUUGCCUACUUUCAACUAGGAAUGUAACAUUUGCUAGACUACUUGCUCAAAUCAUAAAAUUGCGAGUACAAUUCCCCGAUUACUCAAUCAAGACUAUUCGUCUUGACAAUGCUGAUGAAUUUAGAUCACACGCAUUUGAUGAUUAUUGUAUGUCAAUUGGGAUUGAAAUUGAACAUUCAAUUGCACAUGUUCAUACACAAAAGGUUUAGUAGAAUCGUUUAUUAAACGUCUACAACUUAUUGUUAGACCAUUACUUAUGAAAACAAAACUCCCAACUUCUAUUUGGGGUCAUGCCAUAUUACAUGCUGCAUCAUUGGUUCGUAUAAGACAAACUGUCUAUCAUCAAUAUCCACCUUUGCAACUUGUAUUUGGUCAUGAACCUGAUAUUUCUCAUCUAUGGGUUUUUGGUUGUGCUGUCCAAGUUCUUAUUUCACCCCCACAACAUACUAAAAUGGGUCCCCAACGAAGACUUGGGAUUUAUGUGGGUUUUGAUUCACCAUCUUUUAUUAUAUAUCUUAAACCUUUAACAGAUGACUUAUUUACUGCACGUUUUGCAGAUUGUCAUUUUGAUGAAAUGACUUUCCCAACUUUGGGAAGAGAAAAAUUAUAUCCUGAAAAACAAGAUAGAAUUUCUUGGAAUGAGACAACUCUAUCUCACUUUGAUCCCCGCAGUAAUCAAUGUGAACUAGAAGUUGAAAAAAUCAUUCAUUUGCAAAGAGUUGCAAUUCAACUACCUGAUAUAUUUGUUGACACGAGAAAAGUGACAAAGUCAUAUAUUCCAGCAGAAAAUAUUUCAGCAAAAAUUAAUGUCCCUGCAAGACAAUCUGCUGUGGCAAAUGAAUCUCAAAUACGCCAUAAGCGUGGUCGACCAGUUGGUUCAAAAGACUCUGUACCUCAAAAAAGAAGAGUACAGGAGAAAAACCAACCAAAAAUUUCAGAAGAAAUCACAUUAGAAAAAAUUGAUCAAUCAAAUAUUGAAUGUAUGGUUCCUAAAAAAUCAGAGGUGUCCGAAAAUAAUGAGAUCUCAAUAAAUUAUAUGAUAUCUCAUAAAUUAUGGGAACGGAAUAAUAUUGUUAUAGACAAUAUUUUCACCUUUAACAUGGCUCUUGAUAUUACGCAAAAUGAGAAUAUUUAACCACAGUCUAUUAAUGACUGUCAAAAUAGAAAUGAUUGGCCAAAAUGGAAAGAAGCCAUAUAGGCAGAAUUGAAUUCUUUGAAGAAACGAAAAGUGUUUGGACUAGUAAUUCGAACACCUGAAAAUGUAAUCCUUGUUGGAUACAAAUGGAUUUUUGUAUGAAAGAGAAAUGAGAAUAAUGAAAUCACAAGAUACAAACCCCGACUAGUGGCUCAAGGUUUCUCCCAAAGACCGGGAAUUGAUUAUGAGGAAACAUAUUCUCCCGUAAUGGAUACCAUCACUUUUAGGUUCGUAAUUAGUUUGACCAUGUCACAAGGGCUCAAUAUGCGCUUUAUGGAUGUAGUAACUGCCUACCUAUAUGGUUUACUUGACAGUGACAUAUAUAUAUGAAAGUCCCUAAAGGAUUUAAAGUGCCAGGAAUAAAUGAUACAUGUCCAAGAACUAUGUUCUCAAUUAAAUUGCAAAAAUCAUUAUAUGGAUUGAAACAAUCCGAACACAUGUGGUAUAAUCGCCUUAGCGAAUAUUUGUUGAAAGAGGGUUAUAAAAAUGAUAAUAUUUGCCCAUAUGUUUUCAUAAAGAAAACAAAUAUUAGAUUUGCAAUUGUGACAGUUUAUGUUGAUGAUUUAAAUUUAAUUGGAACUCCUGAAGAGCUCAACAAAACUGCAGAUUAUUUGAGAAAUGAAUUUGAGAUGAAAGAUUUGGGGAAAACCAAAUUUUGUCUUGGAUUACAAAUUGAACAUUUUCUAGAGGAAUUAUUUGUUCAUCAAUCUACUUAUACAGAAAAAGCCUUGAAACGCUUUUAUAUGGAUAAUGCACAUCCAUUGCCAUCAUCUAUGGUUGUUCGAUCACUUGAUGUGAAAAAAGAUCAAUUUCGUCCACUUGAAGAUGGAGAAAAGAUUCUUGGUCCUGAAGUACCAUGCCUUAAUGCAAUUGGAGCAUUAACUUAUCUUGCAAAUUGCACUCGACCUGACAUAACUUUUUCUGUAAAUCUCCUUGCAAGAUAUAGCUCUACACCAACUCAAAGGCAGUGGAAUGGUGUUAAACAUAUUUUUCGUUACCUAAAAGGUACUAUUGAUAUGGGACUGUUUUAUUCUCAAAAGUCACGAUCUGCUUUAGCGAGAUAUGCAGAUGCAAGUUAUCUUUCCGAUCCACAUAAAGCUAAAUCACAAACAGGAUAUGUGUUUACACGUGGAGGAACAGCUAUAUCAUGGAGAUCUGUGAAGCAAUCCUUGACAGCAACAUCCUCAAAUCAUUCUGAAAUUAUUACAAUCCAUGAAGCAUGGCGAGAAUGUAUAUGGUUGAGGAAUAUGACCCAUCAUAUCCAAUCAUCAUGUGGAUUGACUUCAACAAAAAAUAGUCCAACAAUUUUGUUUGAAGAUAAUGCAGCUUGUAUCGUACAACUCAAGGGAGGCUAUAUCAAAGGCGACAGGACGAAGCAUAUUUCUCCAAAACUCUUUCAUACACAUGAAUUUCAGAAGAAUGGUGACAUUGAUAUUCAACAAAUUCGAGCAAGUGACAAUGUGGCUAAUCUAUUCACAAAAGCGCUGCCAACAUCAACAUUCAAGAAAUUAGUUCAUGAGAUUGAAAUGCAUCGACUCAAAGAUUUUCAGUGAUCAACAUCAGGAGGAGUAGCUGUACUCUUUUUCCUUCGCUUAGGUUUUGUCCCAUUGGGUUUUCCUAAUAAGGUUUUAAGGAGGCAGCAUUUAAUUUUAAUACUCCAAAAUAACUGUACUCAUUUUCCUUCGUUUGAUUUUUUUUCCAAUUGGAUUUUUAUCAAACAGGGUUUUAACGAGGCAGAUAUUUUGUAAUAUGUCAUUCAAGGGUGAAUAUAAAUGGAAAGUCCAUUAAAGUUUAUUGGUGAAUGACAUUUGUACCCCUGUAGCCCUAGAAAUUAUUAUCAUUGUAUCACUAAUUUUUACCUAUAAAUAUAGGGCUUUGGUUUUCAAUAAUAUACACAAAAAGUUUAUUGAGUUUUCUCUAUUCUCUUUUCCUCUCAUUUUAUAACACAAAUAUAUUUCACCAUUUUAAUUUAUAUUAUUCUUUGUGUGAAGUCUUUUGUCUUUGGUGGAAAAAGCAAAGGUUAAUAACUAGAUUGGGUGGUCUUGGAUCAAUUAGACAUUAUCUAAUUAUUAGAGUUUGAAAAAUAUGUCCAAACAUGUGCUGUGGUAGAUCUAAAAUUUCUUGGACUUAAUUGCAAUUAUUGUGAAAAUUUUUGAACUUCAUCGCAAUUAUAAUUAAUGUUCGGAUAAUAUACUUAUAAUUAAAUCAAUUAUGGUCUAAUUAAACUUAGACAUGGAUUGAACCACUUUUGUCUAACAUAUGGACGAAGUGGCCCCUAGAACUUGUAGGGGGCGAAUUUUGUGAGAAAAAUAGGAAAAAUUAAUUGUCUUCUUGGUUUAUAUAUGUAUGUGUGUGUCGGGGGGGGGGGCAGUUUUCAAUAAUUUUGAGCUACCCUAUCUCUAAGAUUAGGUAAUUAUAGAUGGGACAAAUUUAUAUGUAUUUAGAGUUUGUAUUCACCAGACACCAUAUUAAUAUUUGCAUUACUGAUGUAUUUUUUUCUUGACUAAUUCAGGCAAUGCUUCACUCUAGGAUACAAAGAUC